rnacentral:rRNA from 1 species
UGGUGGAGUGAUUUGUCUGGUUAAUUCCGUUAACGAACGAGACCUCAGCCUGUUAAAUAGUCAUGCGAACGCUCGCGUUCGCAGCUGACUUCUUAAAGGGACUGUUGGCGUUUAGCCAACUGUAAGCUUGAGGCAAUAACA